rnacentral:tRNA from 1 species
GCCGAAAUCGCUUAAUGGUCAAAGCGAGGGUCUCAUAAUCCCUAGCUCACAGUUCAAUCCUGUGUUUUGGCA